GAUGAACGCUGGCGGCGUGCCUAAUACAUGCAAGUCGAGCGAACAGACGGGGCGUUUGCUCCUCUGACGUUAGCGGCGGACGGGAGCGUAACACGGGGAUAACCUAACUCUGAGACUGGGGUGCCUUCGGGGAACCGGUGCUAAUACCGGAUAAUAUAUUGAACCGGAUUGUUCCAUAGUAAAAGUCGGUUUUGCUGGCACUAAUAGCUUGAUACGCGCAUGAUUAGCUGGUUGGUUAAGUGACGGAUUAGCCAGGCAACGAUGGAUAGCCGACCUGAGAGGGUGAUCCGCCACCCGGGAACUGAGACAGGGCCCCGACUCCGACGGGAGGCAGCAGUAGGGAAUCUUACGCAAUGGGGGAAAGCCGGACGGAGCAAAGCCGCGUGAGUGAUGAAGGUCUUCGGAUCGUAAAACGCUGUUAGUAGGGAAGAACAAAUGUGUAAGUAACUAUGCCCGUCUUGACGGUACCGAAUCAGAAAGCCACGGCUAACUACGUG
rnacentral:rRNA from 1 species